rfam:Trichinella spiralis unplaced genomic scaffold Scfld244, whole genome shotgun sequence.
UACCUGGUUGAUCCUGCCAGUAGUCAUAUGCUUGUCUCAAAGAUUAAGCCAUGCAUGUGUAAGCACACACUGUUUUAAAAGUGAAGCCGCGAAUGGCUCAUUACAACAGCCACAGUUUAUUAGAACUUACAAUCAUGGAUAACUGUGGUAAUUCUAGAGCUAAUACACGCACAAAAACUUCAACUGAAUUGGUUGAAGUGCUUUUAUUAGAACAAAAACCGAACGGCGUUUGACGAAUGUUGAACGUCGAAACUGUUUGGUGAAUCUGAAUAACUAUUUCUGAUCGCAUGGUCUAGCACCGGCGACAUCACUUUCAAGUGUCUGCCUUAUCAACCUUCGAUGGUAGUCUAUGCGACUACCAUGGUGAUAACGGGUAACGGAGAAUCAGGGUUCGACUCCGGAGAGGGAGCCUGAGAAACGGCUACCACAUCCAAGGAAGGCAGCAGGCGCGCAAAUUACCCACUCCCAGCUUGGGGAGGUAGUGACGAAAAAUAACGAGACGAAUUCUCGUUUGAGAAAACGUUAUCGAAAAUGAGUACGCUUUUACACACCCCUAACCAAGUUACAAUUGGGAGGGGG